CCUUUUCGACAACAUCUUUUAGUGCGGCGACAGUUUAUUUUCCUGGGCGGAAGCCGUGCUGCCUUGUGGAUAACCCUCCUCCCGUGUAUAGCUUCUUCCAAUCUGACUUUUAUAAGUCUCCCGAGUAGUUAACCGGCUGUGAGACAUGCAUAGAGCAUUUUGUGAAAUCGGCAAGACAGUCCGGCCUUGCCACCGCUAUCAGAUUCAGCAGCUCUGUAUUCCAUCAGGACUUGGUGCUUUCUUAUUUUUCAUUUUAGCAGCUGCCGAAAAAAGUUCCUCCACUGUAAAAGUGGUAAAGCAUCGUGUUUCCUCGUUGGUGGUAUUCCCUGCAUCUAUGUCGUGUCUGGAAAACAACGGGUUUACGAUGCUACCCAUGAUCUCAUCGUCUAGCUCGCUUGCUGGGUUCUUUUCGCCUAGCAUUUUCAUAACAGCUUUGUCGCCAAGGCAAUAUGUCUCCCCACGGAUCUCGGUUAAUAUCCUCUCUCAGUGAUUCCCACUGUUAUUUUUUAAUAUUUUGUAUGGCGUUUCUAAAAGACUAUAAAGAGGUAUUCGUAUGAGCUCUUU